AGGGAGCUACUCUCUAUCCCAUCCUGCGCUCUGCGCUGCAUGACCCCAAGCAAUAUAAAAACCCGUCCCAGUUUGACCCGGCGCAUUUCCUGGAUGAAAAAGGAGAAUUCAAGAAGAAUGGAGCCGACAUGCCUUUCUCUGCAGGCAAGAGGAACUGCCUUGGCGAAGGACUGGCCCGGAUGCAGCUCUUCCUCUACAUCACCACCAUCUUGCAGAGUUUCCGCCUGAAGUAUCCCCCGGGAGUCACCAAGAUCAACCUCGUUCCCGACGUCAGUGGGUUCGGGAAUAUCCCACACCAAGUCGACUUCUGCUUCUGCCCACGCUAAGGGCAUGAAAGGUCCCAAAAUCUCUCCAACUGGGGCUCAUCCAACUGCCAUCAUUUCCCUUUUCUGAUUUUGCUUUAAUUUAACACACACAUCAUUAUAGAGCAGCGGUUCCCAAACUUUGGAGAGAUACGAAUUACUUCAAAGUGUUUGCAAUCAUGGUUUUACAUUUUUGUAGAUGACACCCCACGAUAAAGGACAGGAUGGAAUCAUAAUCAUAAUAAAGCAACUGAGU